UACGGGGGGGGCAAGCGUUGUUCGGAAUUACUGGGCGUAAAGGGCUUGUAGGUGGCCAACUAAGUCAGACGUGAAAUCCCUCAGCUUAACUGGGGAACUGCGUCUGAUACUGGAUGGCUUGAGUUUGGGAGAGGGACGCGGAAUUCCAGGUGUAGCGGUGAAAUGCGCAGAUAUCAGGAAGAACACCCGUGGCGAAGGCGGUUCUCUGGGACGGUACUGACGCUGAGACGCGAAAGCGUGGGGAGCGAACAGG
rnacentral:rRNA from 1 species